rnacentral:rRNA from 1 species
CCUACGGGAGGCAGCAGUGAGGAAUAUUGGUCAAUGGGCGCGAGCCUGAACCAGCCAAGUAGCGUGAAGGAUGACUGCCCUACGGGUUGUAAACUUCGUUUAUAAAGGAAUAAAGUGAGGCACGUGUGCCUUUUUGUAUGUACUUUAUGAAUAAGGAUCGGCUAACUCCGUGCCAGCAGCCGCGGUAAUACGGAGGAUCCGAGCGUUAUCCGGAUUUAUUGGGUUUAAAGGGAGCGUAGAUGGGUUGUUAAGUCAGUUGUGAAAGUUUGCGGCUCAACCGUAAAAUUGCAAUUGAUACUGGCAGUCUUGAGUACAGUUGAGGUAGGCGGAAUUCGUGGUGUAGCGGUGAAAUGCUUAGAUAUCACGAAGAACCCCGAUGGCGAAGGCAGCUUACUAAACUGUGACUGACAUUGAUGCUCGAAAGCGUGGGGAGCAAACAGGAUUAGAUACCCGGGUAGUC